rnacentral:rRNA from 1 species
UGAAGCUGGAUUCGCUAGUAAUCGCGCAUCAGCCAUGGCGCGGUGAAUACGUUCCCGGGCCUUGUACACACCGCCCGUCAAGCCAUGGGAGCCGGGGGCACUUGAAGUACGCCGCCGCGAGGAGCGUCCUAGAGUGAAACUGGUGACUGGGGCUAAGUCGUAACAAGGUAAC